UACGAAGGGGGCUAGCGUUGCUCGGAAUCACUGGGCGUAAAGCGCACGUAGGCGGAUUGUUAAGUCAGGGGUGAAAUCCUGGAGCUCAACUCCAGAACUGCCUUUGAUACUGGCGAUCUUGAGUCCGGGAGAGGUGAGUGGAGCUGCGAGUGUAGAGGUGAAAUUCGUAGAUAUUCGCAAGAACACCAGUGGCGAAGGCGGACUCACUGGCCCGGUACUGACGCUGAGGUGCGAAAGCGUGGGGAGCAAAGCAGGAUUAAGAUGACCCGGGGUAGUACCCG
rnacentral:rRNA from 1 species